ensembl:lncRNA
UUCCUCCCUCCCUCCGUCCCUCUCUCUCUCUCUCUCCCUAAUUUAUCCUCUGGACUGGUUUCUCGUCAUGUGAAUGUCUACUAAGAAGGGCUACUCUAGCUGUGAGCUCGUCUCGUUCGUGUCUCAACCUCACGGCUCGCGCGCUGAGCUAUGCUCGUCUCGUUCGUGUCUCGACCUCACGGCUCGCGCGCUGUUCCUGCAGGGGUCUCGACUCCAGAGUCUCAGGAGAAAGACUUGAAAGGGUUUCUUGAAUGUGCUGUAACCUGGAACCCAGACUCACACAGAUCUAAGGGAACGUGAUUCUGGCAGGGCCCCUGGCUUGUGUUUAUGUGUGUGUGUGUGUGUGUGUGUGUGUGUGUGUGAAGGGCUGGGGUGGGGAGAGACAGUUGUUAGCAGCACUCUUAAGUGACCCUAACUGCGUGUCCUUGGAACUAGAUUUAUCAAUAACUUUGUCUGCAACCGAGCACUGAUGUACAAUGAAGCUCAACUGACACUGGUGACUUCAUGCCCUCUCACCUUUGACCUUAUGUGUCAGAGCCAGGGGUCAAAGGUCAAGUGAUACUGACAGCACAGCUUCCUAUUUUCAUCUCAGGUAUGACUGAGCACCAGCAUGGAACCUCUGGGUUGACCUCUGACCUGUAUUUAUGAGUUCCUGGUUUUGUUUUAUUGUUUUUGUGGUCCUGAGAAAAAAAGUUACAUUAAGACUUGAGAAGAAAAAACUAAAAAGUAAAAAAAAAAACACAAAAUAUAUAAGGGGAAUACAGUUUGGGGGUUGGGGUAUAUUGUAUGACUAAUUGAUGGAUUGUGUUUGAGAAAAAAUGGUUUUGAAGCCUUGCAACUGUUGCAUGGUCAUUUUGUAGUCGUUUUUAGUACUUUAGUUUGUAUUGAAUCCCAAACUGUUUGUAAGAACUGGAAUGAUCUGACUCAGGUUCAGAAGAAUGUCGCUCCACAAGCCUCCCCAUAGCUCAGGACACUGAACCUGGAACAGAGCUUACCUUACGAAUGCCUUCCUGCUCCAAUACAGUCUGCUUCCUGCUCCAAUACAGUCCACUUCCUGCUCCAAUACAGUCCACUUCCUGCUCCAAUACAGUCCACUUCCUGUCCACUUCCUGCUCCAAUACAGUCCACUUCCUGAUCCAAUAAAGUCCACUUCCUGCUCCAAUACAGUCCACUUCCUGCUCCAAUACAGUCCACUUCCUGAUCCAAUACAGUCCACUUCCUGUUCACUUCCUGCUCCAAUACAGUCCACUUCCUGUCCACUUCCUGCCCCAAUACAGUCCACUUCCUGCUAUUCUGCAGUAUUCUGCAUACUGUCUCCUUAUGUAAACACGUAUGGCUGGUGAAGAAGAUGUAUAUCAGUCCUCAGGCUUUUGAAUGCAGGGCAUGUGUUCAUGGCAGCCAUUUUAGGUAACCUACUCAGACUACAAAGUGAAGCACACAUCUCAAUGGCAGCCACAUCACGUAAACUACUCAGACUACAAAGUAAAGCACACAUCUCAAUGGCAUCCAUUUUGUGUUAACUACAAAGACUGGAAAAAUAAAGCCUCACGGGCACAAUGGCAGCCAUUUUGUGUCAACUGUAAGGCCCUUCGGCCAGAACACAGCUGUGUGUACUCCUGUGGCGUGAAUAUGGUUCAUGUUAACUGAUUAUAAGUCAAAGGCCAGGCUUGAGAAGUGAUGAUGAUGAUGAUGAUGAUGAUGAUGAAUAUGGUUCAUGUUAACUGAUUAUAAGUCAAAGGCCAGGCUUGAGAAGUGAUGAUGAUGAUGAUGUGUGGUUGCUGUAGUGCGCCUCUGCCUAUCUUUGUCCUGCACUGGUCAGUUUUUCUUUUGUUUUGGCUUAGUAUGCUAAUGCACUGUUACCCCACUCACAUACCCUAUCCCAGUAUACUGUUACCCCUCUCACUCAUAUCCGUCAGAUGAUCUGGAACGACUCGAACCAAAGUAAACCAAAGUAAUCUGAUUUUCUCACUGCCACACUGUGAUAUUUUUUCUAAUACCAGUGAUUAGGUUUGGGUGAGAGAUGCUGGUCCCUGAAUCCGUUUGUAAGGAGACAGAAAAAGCUUUAAAUGAAGCUAUCAUCAGAAUGUGGGUAUUUGAACCCACAGCAGUAAAUAGAGAGAGAGAGAGUAACUUAACAUGUCGACACACACUGACUGUCUCUCGGCCUGAGGAUGUGAAAGCUGCAGUUGAAAUAAAAAAAUGGAUUUAACAAGAUGAACGGUGUCUUUCUUAUGAUCUGCUUCGUCCUAUUUCUCUCCCUCAGUUUGUAAAUAAAGCUUCUCCGCCCGCACAGUGACCUUGUGUGACAUGUCAGACAUCGCAGUGGUAUCUCUCUCACACUCCAACGUGGACACAACACUAGUGAACCGAUGGGGGAGAUGACAUCACAACACUAGUGAACCGAUGGGGGAGAUGACAUCACAACACUAGUGAACCGAUGGGGGAGAUGGCAUCACAGUAUGGCCACCUCUAAAUAUCUGCUCACAGUAACUUUACCACACACACACACACACACACACACACACACACCUGGGGAGAUGGCAUCACAACAUGGCCACCUCUAAAUAUCUGCUCACAGUAACUUUACUCCUGUUAUAAAUGUGAAGUAAGUAAAAACAACAUAUUUAGUAAAUAUUUGAGAAACAUAAACUGAUUAGGACACUGGAAAUGGUCCGAGGGCAAUCCACUAACCUCUCUCUCCUAUCAGGCCCAUUGCCACUGACUGACAUGAAGGUGUGUGUGUGUGUGUGUACCUCUCUGUGAUAGUGUGUGUGUGUGUGUGUGUGUGUACCUCUCUGUGAUGGUGUGUGUGUGUGUGUGUGUGUGUGUGUGUACCUCUCUCUCCUAUCAGGCCCAUUGCCACUGACUGACAUGAAGGUGUGUGUGUGUGUGUGUACCUCUCUGUGAUGGUGUGUGUGUGUGUGUGUGUGUGUGUACCUCUCUGUGAUAGGAGAGAGAGGUAC